CGUCAAUUUGACAGUUGACAGUUUAUUUAUCGCAGUCGACGCUGAUUGGUUCGCGUUUAGCAGAUGCGAAAAGGGGAUGAUUAAAUAAAACGCAUGGUUCCGUGCAGGCUCACCUUUCUCCCAGUGAGCCUGUUCGCAGGCUAUGUCAAUGCUAAUUAGAGCUUUUGCGGCAAAAUAUUCGGCAGCUCUAAUAUUUUUUCCUACAGUAUCUCUACAGUAUCUCCGUUGCGUGUUCCAAAAUUUUAAAAAAUGGCAGAAUCGGUAAGAUCCCCAUAAAAAUCUUAAAUAAAUAGAUUAAAUGAACUUCAGCUCGCGAUCAGCCGAACUUUCCAUUUUG